UGUCUUGUGGCUUAGUUGGUUAAUGCGCCGAACUAGCUAUACGGAGUCGUGGGUUCGAAUCCCACCAAAUCAA
rfam:Aedes albopictus isolate Foshan contig97554, whole genome shotgun sequence.